rnacentral:rRNA from 1 species
UAGCUAGUUGGUGGGGUAAGGGCCUACCAAGGCGACGAUCGGUAGCUGGUCUGAGAGGAUGACCAGCCACACUGGAACUGAGACACGGUCCAGACUCCUACGGGAGGCAGCAGUGGGGAAUAUUGGACAAUGGGGGCAACCCUGAUCCAGCAAUGCCGCGUGUGUGAAGAAGGCCUGAGGGUUGUAAAGCACUUUCAGUGGGGAGGAGGGUUGAUAGGUUAAGAGCUAAUUAACUGGGCGUUACCCACAGAAGAAGCACCGGCUAACUCCGUGCCAGCAGCCGCGGUAAUACGGAGGGUGCGAGCGUUAAUUGGAAUUACUGGGCGUAAAGGGUGCGUAGGUGGUUGAUUAAGUUAUCUGUGAAAUUCCUGGGCUUAACCUGGGACGGUCAGAUAAUACUGGUUGACUCGAGUAUGGGAGAGGGUAGUGGAAUUUCCGGUGUAGCGGUGAAAUGCGUAGAGAUCGGAAGGAACACCAGUGGCGAAGGCGGCUACCUGGCCUAAUACUGACACUGAGGCACGAAAGCGUGGGGAGCAAACAGGAUUAGAUACCCUGGUAGUCCACGCUGUAAACGAUGUCAACUAGCUGUUGGUUAUAUGAAAAUAAUUAGUGGCGC